UAGAAAAUGGUGUAGUGGAAGCACUUGGAGUUUUGAUCUCCAGGGUAUGGGUUCGAGUCCCCUUUUUCUAG
rnacentral:tRNA from 1 species